CUGUCGCUGCCGACCCUUCAUGGGCAGGACAACUACCGGGUCCUGGGUUGACGUGAUGAAAACGCAUACAGUUCAUCUCUCUUUCUGGAAAGGUGAAGUUAAGCGAUAAAGAUAGAGAGCAUUGGUGCCAAUAUCUCUGCAACCCCAGAGGGCCUGCGUUUGACCUGGAAGAACCCAUACAGGGAUAAGGCGCCUCACUGCUUUGAGAGCUUUAUUCGAUUCAAGACCAUCUGUGCCCCCAGCUGGGAGAACGUUACCCCAGUUAGGUUCAACUACGUCCUGAGGACCAGCAGGCAUAAGGAUUACCAGUUCCAGAUACGGAUGAGGUACAACUCGCUAUGUGAACCCACCCGUCUCAAUGUCUGGACCUCGUGGACACCGAGGCUCAGCCUAGGAAAUGUUAACGACACAGGAUCUUGCAUGGUGGGGGGACCUCCACCACAGCCCACCACCACCCUGUACACCAUCCUCCUCCUCCCCCUUCUCUUGUGUUUCGUGCUCCUGUGCAGCUUGACUCACGAAAGGGUCAGAAGGUACUUUCUGCCAAUCAUUCCUGAUCCAAAGCACAGGCUGGAUGGGCUCUUUAAGAUGGAGAUGAGUCAGAACUGUGCUGACCCUGCGAUGGAGUGUGAGAUUGAGACGGUGGCGAUCGAAAUAGUCAACUUUGAGAAGGAGGAAGAUGGUUCGAUUGAAGAGAAACUUCUGGAGAAAGACCAGGAGACUAAGGGAGAGGCCGAGCAUGGCCACGGAGGCCGGGAGCUCUGGGCUCCGUGCCGUUUGACCGAGGCAGACCUUCAGGGCUACCCCACCAUACCAAUAAGUGGGGAGUACAUCAUGCAUAAUGGGA
ensembl:lncRNA